rnacentral:rRNA from 1 species
UCCUACGGGAGCAGCAGUGGGGAAUUUUCCGCAAUGGGCGAAAGCCUGACGGAGCAAUGCCGCGUGGAGGAUGACAGCCUGUGGGUCGUAAACUCCUUUUCUCAGAGAAGAAGUUCUGACGGUAUCUGAGGAAUAAGCAUCGGCUAACUCCGUGCCAGCAGCCGCGGUAAGACGGAGGAUGCAAGCGUUAUCCGGAAUGAUUGGGCGUAAAGCGUCUGUAGGUGGUUCAGUAAGUCUCCUGUUAAAGAUCAGGGCUUAACCCUGAGUCGGCAGUAGAAACUACUGAGCUUGAGUACGGUAGGGGCAGAGGGAAUUCCCGGUGUAGCGGUGAAAUGCGUAGAGAUCGGGAAGAACACCAAUGGCGAAAGCACUCUGCUGGGCCGAAACUGACACUCAGAGACGA